ensembl:lncRNA
AGGGUGGAGACUUGAGUCCCAGCUCCAGCACCUCUGUGUUCACCUCUUGGGCCUGCAAAGUGUGCAGAAGGACCCUUGUCCCGAGUACCUCCGGGCUCCGGGAAGAAGGGAGGAGGCAGUGCUGGAUGGCAGAGACUCCUGGGAUGAGCAGGCAGGAGCAGCAAGGAUGACACUACUGUCAUCAAGUGAUGACACUGCAGGUGGUGAGCACACUUUGAGGAGGACAGGACGCCUGGCUCUCCCCACUCCCUAGGGCUCUGACCAUAGGCAGUCAGCUGACACGAGGCUGGGCAGAUAUGCAGUUCCUGCCUGACCAUGAGAGGCUGUGGGGAGACAGCAGCUGGCUGCUGCGUGAAGAAGAUAGCCUUCACCAGAAUCUUCCAGCUGCAAGUGACACAGCCAACUUAACUGGCUAUAGCCAAAGGAGGGUUUGUGGAGAUAGAGCAGCUUCAGGUAUAGCUGAUUCCAGGCACCCAUCACCUGAACUUGGCAUUUACCCCCUCCCCCACAGCUCUGUUUGCCUUGUCACUCCAUGUCAUUUGCAGGUAGAUCCUUUCUCUCUGGUCCCAGUAAUCAGAAGUCUCUUUCUCCCAAGAAUCUGAACUCAAGUCUUGGCCUGACCCAGGCUCUUGCUUCCCUGGCUCGAGUCAGAUGUUCACUCUGGAUGGGGGGCAGAUCCAGCCCCACUGAACUCUGACACUGAGAGUAAGUAGAUGCAGCAUGGCUGCCCCCAGAAAAAUCAGCGAGCCAUGGCCAGAGGCACAGUGCAGCGGAUGAAACACCUCUGUUCCAUGACGUUAGGCCUCAGCUGGGCCAUAGGACCUUCUGUCUCAAGCCUUUUCACCCUGUCUUUCCUUAGGCUGGGCCUUGGCUGGACAUGAACCAGGAGAGCAGCCUGCAGCCUCCUUGUGGCCUGGGUUCUCCCAGCACAGCUGUCUGGGGAGCAACUCAGGACCCAAGAGCAAGCCUCUUAUGACCCAGCUUUGGGAGUCACAUGGUGUCACUGUCACUGUUCUUUACUGGCCAAGGUGAGCACGAGCCCACCCAGAUGCCGGCACAGAGGACACAGACCUCAGAUUGCAGUGGCAGCCAGUCGUGCUUCAAACUUCCUCAGGCUCCCAGCAGGGGGGUGACUGCACCCCCAGGGACAGCAACAAUGCUUGGUCAUGUUCUGCAUGGUCAUGAGGGGGUGGGAGAAGUUGCUAGUGGCACCUAGGGGUAAAGUCAGGGAGCUGCUAAGCACCCUCUAGGGUGCAGCCUACAGCAAAGAGAGACCCGGCCCCCAAUGCCAACGGGGCCACAGUGGAGAUGCCUCAGGACAAUGGCCAAGGACCAGCAUGCCCAGCUGGCUUUUCCAGCUUUUUGCCAGGGCUGGGUGCAAAAGGGCUGUGCUGAGGGACAGGGCACCCCUGCUUGGACUGGGCACAGGAUCUCUUUGGAAAGGAGCAGGGCCAGGCAUUGGCUGGGGUCCCCUUCCCCACUCUGCAUCUCCCAAGACAUCUCGUUUACUUAUUGGAGACAGGUGGACUGCUCAGGUCUCGGAUGGCAGUCAGAGCUGGUGUAGACAGCACAAUCUGCUUCACCUCAGUUCUGGAGCAUCCUCAGCGCAGGCACUGUGCGGCCAGAGGGGUGCUGGCUGGUGUCCAGAGACUGGGUGUCCUCCAUUUCCACUCUGCCCCCGCCUCCACCCCAGUUCCUAUGGAAAUGCCAACCAAACGCUCAGCUACAAAGCAUCACCAGGCAGAGGCCACAGCCUUCCGGGGACACCCUGGGCAGCUGCCCGAGAGUCCCAGGACGUGCACACAUUGUUCCAUUUUUGGAAUUCUUCAGGAGUGAGAGCAGCCCUGGCUGCCGCCUGAGCUCGGCUUAUGGAGGCCAGCCCUGUGGGGAGAGAGGGGAGCUAUUGUCCAGGCUGGGCUGCAGGCCGCAAGAAUGUGCCAGAAUGUGGCCUGCCUGGCACAGCCCCAGAGCCAGCCUUUGUGUGCCAGCAG